rnacentral:tRNA from 6 species
AGGGGAGUAGCGCAAUUGGUAGAGUAGCGGUCUCCAAAACCGUCGGCUGCGGGUUCAAGUCCUGUCUCCCCUGCCA